CUCGGGCCCCCUCGCGUCAGUGUUUGCCCAUCUGGUCAGAUUCGGAAGAAAGCAGCCAAUGCAAAUUUGCUUGAGUGCCGGGGUAGGGCUCGUUGGU
rfam:Bacterium 2013Arg42i strain 2013Ark11 genome assembly, chromosome: I